AGCUCCAAUAGCGUAUAUUAAAGUUGCUGCAGUUAAAAAGCUCGUAGUUGCAUUUCCGAGGCAAGGGAUUAGUCCGACCUUUGGUGGGUAUUUAAUCCUCUUGCCUCGUCUUGAGUGGUGCUUCUUGGUAUUAAGUUAUCGAGGAGAUAGCCGCUCAUCGUUUACUGUGAGAAAAUUAGAGUGUUCAAAGCAGGCUUAUGCCGUUGAAUAUAUUAGCAUGGAAUAAUAAGAUAGGACCUCGGUACUAUUUGGUUGGUUUGAGAACCAAGGUAAUGAUGAAUAGGGACAGUUGGGGGUAUUCGUAUUCAGUUGUCAGAGGUGAAAUUCUUAGAUUUACGGAAGACGAACUACUGCGAAAGCAUUUACCAAGGAUGUUUUCA
rnacentral:rRNA from 1 species